rnacentral:rRNA from 1 species
CCUACGGGUGGCAGCAGUGGGGAAUUUUGCGCAAUGCUCGUAAGAGUGAAGCAGCGAAGCCGCGUGGGGGAAUGAAGGUCUUCGGAUUGUAAAGCUCUAUUAGCAGGGAAGAAGAAAGACGGUACCUGACUAAGAAGCCCCGGCUAACUACGUGCCAGCAGCCGCGGUAAUACGUAGGGGGCAAGCGGUAUCCGGAUUUACUGGGUGUAAAGGGAGCGUAGACGGCUGUGCAAGUCUGAAGUGAAAGCCCAGGGCUCAACCCUGGGACUGCUUUGGAAACUGUGGAGCUAGAGUGCUGGAGAGGUAAGUGGAAUUCCUAGUGUAGCGGUGAAAUGCGUAGAUAUUAGGAGGAACACCAGUGGCGAAGGCGGCUUACUGGACAGUAACUGACGUUGAGGCUCGAAAGCGUGGGGAGCAAACAGGAUUAGAUACCCCAGUAGUA